ACUCCACUCUCCCCCAUCCUCCAUCUGUUCCUCUGUCCCCAAAACAAUCCCAAGAUCCUUCUCAAAAUCGUUCUCUUUGGCCUUAAAAAUCCACCUGGACUUGCCCCAAUCCCAACCAAUUCUGCUCAUGCAACAGCAGCCUCCUGGCUGCUCUUCAUGUAACCAUACUGCUCUUGGUAAGAGAGCCUUCUCCAAUGCAACUCCUGACCAUCUCUCCUUUUCUUCCCCAUUUCUGUCUGGCUUCUUGUACAGCAGCCGUUGCUACAGUGUGUGAGCACCUAUUAGAAUUCAGUAGAACUGGAUGUGCUCAUUCCUUUCCUCCCGUCACAAGGAAACAGGUUCCUCCUUGUUAUUCAUCUUUCUUUUUCCUCCUCUCCCUCUAUGAGCUGUUCUUUAGGGCUUUACCUGCAGAGAUGCAAAAUCAACUGCCUGCAACCCUCCUAGAAAAAACAAAAACCAAAGGGAGAUUGACACUCAUAACAUUGAGGUCCCCAUGCUUUCACUCCAGAGCACUUGCAGAUAUCAGCUGCAGACCCACAGGAGAAACUGGAACUAGGUUGUGCUGGGUUAUGUCAACAAGAGUCUUGUCAAUAAGGGAGGACACGGUAAAAGCCUUUGUAGCCAUUAUCGCCUCAGCUGCCCACAGAAAUCCCUUCUCAGAUCAGAGACGUGGCAAAGGAAACAGCCCAGCGGAGGGAAGAAAGAAAAUCGAUUGGACAAACGGCUGUGCUGGGUCUACACUAGGCUGGUUAGGAGCAGUGGAACUGCUCCCGAUGAAGUGGCUGUAGGGCCACAGAACUCAGGCAUUUUUAUCACCAUUACUUUUUAGAAGUUAGGAGUUCUGGUGCCAAGAAGCCCUGGAGGGGAUCAGGGCCCCAUUGUGCUGGGGGCUCUACAUACACAGGGCGACAUUCCCUGCUCCAAAGAGCUCAAAGACCUAACAGAGCAGACACAUGGCUGGGGGNCCAAAGAGCUCAAAGACCUAACAGAGCAGACAUAUGGCUGGGGGAGGGAGGACGAGAACAGAAACACGGAGAGAGGAAGGGAGUCGCCCCAAGUCCCAGUCAAGCGUGCUAGCCACUGGAUCUUGCUGCCUCUUAUGCAGGACAAGAUAAGCCAGUGGUAGAACUCCUGCCCCCCAUUUACAGGGUUGUUAACACUGGUAGUUGACAGAUCCUAGUUCCCUCAACACUCUGGAAGGCCAAGCAGAGGAGUUGUGAAAAGUACAAAUGCUGCAUCACUAGAAAGUCUCCUUUUUGUCACAUUGGCGCAAACGCAAGAGCGAGGAAAUGANGGGACACUGAGGCACCAACACAGUAUUCAGAGAAAACAUUAAGAACUUUCCCAGUUCGUCACACAGUGGUAGCCAGAAAAAUCUCCCUGAAACACAUUCUCCAGCUGCAGAGUCCACCAAUUCCUACAUUUAGCAGGAUCACAGGCAUCAUGGGGCUGGGAACAGGCCCCCACUGCAGUCUCUGCUCAAGUUUCAUCAUCUCAUGGGAAGGAUUUCAUCCUCCCCACACCCAUAUGGUCCUCAGUACAUCAGGCCAAAUCCUGCCAUCAAAGUGACCAAUGAUAGUUAAGACCCAGGCAGACAGUGAAGAACUACAAAAGGAUCUCUCAAAACUGGGUGACUGAGCAACAAAAUAGCAGAUGAAAUUUAAUGUUGAUAAAUGCAAAGUAAUGUACAUUGGAAAACAAUCUCAACUAUACAUAUACAAUCAUGAGGCCUAAAUUAACUGUUACCACUCAAGAAAGAUCUUGGAGUCACUGUGGAUAGUUCUCUGAAAACAUCCACUCAAUGUGCAGGGGCAGUCAAAAAAGCAAACAGAAGGUUGGGAAUAAUUAAUAAAGAGAUAGAUAAUAGGACA
rnacentral:lncRNA from 1 species